rnacentral:rRNA from 1 species
GAUGAACGCUGGCGGCGUGCCUAAUACAUGCAAGUCGAGCGAACAGACGAGGAGCUUGCUCCUCUGACGUUAGCGGCGGACGGGUGAGUAACACGUGGAUAACCUACCUAUAAGACUUGGAUAACUUCGGGAAACCGGAGCUAAUACCGGAUAAUAUAUUGAACCGCAUGGUUCAAUAGUGAAAGACGGUUUUGCUGUCACUUAUAGAUGGAUCCGCGCCGCAUUAGCUAGUUGGUGAGGUAACGGCUUACCAAGGCAACGAUGCGUAGCCGACGUGAGAGGGUGAUCGGCCACACUGGAACUGAGACACGGCCCAGACUCCUACGGGAGGCAGCAGUAGGGAAGCGUCCGAAAUGGGCGAAAGCCUGACGGAGCAACGCCGCGUGAGUGAUGAAGGUCUUCGGAUCGUAAAACUCUGUUAUUAGGGAAGAACAAAUGUGUAAGUAACGAUGCACGUCGUGACGGUACCUAAUCAGAAAGCAACGGCUAACUACGUG